rnacentral:rRNA from 1 species
CCCAAGAGAUCGGGAUAACACCUGGAAACAGAUGCUAAUACUGGAUAACAACAGAUGAUGCCUAUCAACUGUUUAAAAGAUGGUUCUGCUAUCACUCUUGGAUGGACCUGCGGUGCAUUAGCUAGUUGGUAGGGUAACGGCCUACCAAGGCGAUGAUGCAUAGCCGAGUUGAGAGACUGAUCGGCCACAUUGGGACUGAGACACGGCCCAAACUCCUACGGGAGGCAGCAGCC